AAAAGAGAAUUUACUUUCUAAAAAUCAUAAAUAAUUCCCGUUACAAAAACGCAAUAGCAACUAUUUGCAAUAAACUCAACAACGGAUACAAAAAAUAUGCAUACGUUCACCGAAACCGGGGCUGGCGUCCCGGCAUUUCUAGCUAAACUUUGGCGUCUGGUAGAAGAUCCUGAAACUAAUAAUCUCAUAUGUUGGAGUAAGGAUGGCCGAAGUUUUAUUAUACAGAAUCAAGCUCAGUUCGCUCGUGAACUGUUGCCACUCAAUUAUAAACAUAACAAUAUGGCUUCAUUUAUACGGCAACUGAAUAUGUAUGGUUUUCAUAAGAUCACUUCCAUCGAUAAUGGUGGACUUAAAUUUGAUCGUGAUGAAAUGGAAUUUACCCAUCCAUGCUUCAAACGUAAUUGUCCAUAUUUGUUAGAACAUAUUAAGCGCAAAAUUGCUUCUGCCAAAGUCGUGGAUGAUAAGGCGACCGUUAAACCUGAAGCGGUUUCGAAAGUAUUGCAAGACGUGAGGGCCAUGCGUGGUCGUCAGGAUUCAUUAGAUUCACGAUUUUCGGUUAUGAAGCAAGAAAAUGAAGCAUUGUGGCGGGAAAUUGCUUCACUGAGACAAAAACAUGCUAAACAACAACAAAUUGUUAAUAAAUUAAUACAAUUUUUAAUCACAAUUGUUCAACCGCAACGUAAUAUGACUGGCGUUAAGCGUCACAUGCAGCUCAUGAUAAACGACAAUCCAGAGAACGCUACAAAAAGUCGUAAAACAAGUGAAGGUGACUCGAAUUGCGGGCCUGUUAUACGUGAAUUGAGCGAAGAGUUGCUAGAUGAGGUUGCUGAUGUUGAGCCGGAAUUAAUAGUGCCCAACAGCCCUUUCGAGCACGCCGCGGUACCAUCGCAAUCAGACAGCGAAAUUGCUGCUGCUUGUUGCUCUCCACAAAAUUCCGAACGUCCUCAGUCCAGCGUAAGCAUGGUAUCGCAAACUUAUGAUUAUUCCAAUCAAAGCACCGAGGAUUCAAUGGGUUUCGGAAAUAAUAGCGCUACUAAUAACACUAAUAACAAAUGCAGUACUCCCGCUAGCGUAGUAAUGGAAGGUGGUCUUGUACAAGCAGUGGGACCAGAUGGCUUAAAAAUUAUUUAUCACGUUACCGAAGUACCAGAUGCACAGCCGCAAGAUGCAGCACCGGCAUUACCAACUAAUUACAAUGAGGAAAAUGUUUUAACUACGCCAAUGGUACGAGAAGAAAUGGCCCGUACACAAAUGCUUAAACAAAAAAAUCGCCAGCGUCGUCAAAAAGUUUCAACUUCGUCAACUUGUUCCUCGCCUUUGCUCGUUUCUUCCUCUGAACCUAAGAAACCGUGUUUAAUUAAUAAGAGCGGUGAAAGUGGCGGCACUGUUAGUGCCAAUCUACCGAAGUUCCAGCCGAUAGAAGUAAAAUCGGAACAAGAUAUUGAUCCCAUGUUAUUCUUGAAUGCUUAUCCAGAAAAUCGUGGCCUCACCCCUGAUCCUAAUCUAAUUUCACCGAGUUUCAGUGAGGAUUCACGACAAUCUUUAGCAAACUUGACCGCCGGCAUUUUUGGUAGUGCUUCUCCACGUACCUCAUCUACAAAUGCAAUUGGCUCUGCAAACAGUGGUGAUUUGUACAAUCCGCAUAAUUUUAUCGCCAACGAUAUACCAGCCGAUAUAUUUGAGGAUUCUUCAAUUAUCUCCUCUCCGAGCGAUAAUAGCAAUUUUAGCGGCGAAAAUUUGAAAAUACCCCGACGGCAACAACAAUCGCAACAGCAUGUUUGUGUUCCUUUAAAUAACGGCAAAUUUUCUUCGCAUAUGACGGAUAAUAAUUCAAGAAGUAUCAUUAGUAACGACACUGACGCCAAUAAAGUUAACAAUAACCGUGCCUCUACAUCCGCAACGGCAACUGCAUCUGCUUGCACUGACGAUUCCGAGAACAACGAUAGCAAACAGACAGUGGUAUUACCAUCCACUUCGAAGGGGGCAGCUGUUGGUGGAACCAGCAAUGACCUGGCAGUUGCCAAAUAUACAAAUAAUAAAGGCAACGAGGAUUUAAUGCGUGAUGAAGUCAAUGGUCAUUUGGAUAACGUACAAGACGAGUUGGAUACACUGAAGGAUCUAUUACGCAGUGAUAUUUAUUCAAUGGAUCAUAACACACUUUUAGGUAAACUUUUAAAUGAAACCGUAACCUCAAAUGAUGACCCAAACCCGAUGGGAUUCAACAAUAAAACAAAUAUUAAUAAUACUAUUGAGCAUAUCAAUCGUAUUUUAUUGACACCAGGAGCAUUGGAUGGCGAUAACUUGAAUAAGCUGUUCAACGAUUCGGAACUUUUGGGCACUUAUGGUUUGGCUUUUUCCGGCGACAAUAGUAAUAAUGAAAAAAAAGGUUCUGAAUUAAUGGCCUGUCAUCCUAUGUACGAUUUAUCUGAUAUUAUUUCCGAUAUUAACGAUCAAAAUGAUUUAGAUGUUACUUUACUUCGCAAAUACAAUUUGGGUAGGCUGCGUACUGAAAUACAGCUGCAAACUUCUGAAUCGAUUAUUGAUUACUCAUGCCCGCCACUUGAGACUAAUUACAUGAUAUUAGAAUUGUUAUUUCGUAACGCCUAGACAUAUAGAUAAAUUGAUUUAGCAAUAUUUGCUGUAAAAGAUGCUGGUCCGUUUAUUCCUCCACUAACUACUUCCCAACCACUACUACAUUAGCCUCAUUAUUUCCUUCCUAACAAUCACACACGUACGAUAACAUAUAUUCGAUCACCCUGAGAUUUUUCACCUCAAAUCAAUUCAGUUGUGCCCGGUUGCAGUUGGACACUUACGGACAUGAAAUUGGGGCUAGAAAGCUGAUGUCGACAUCAAAAGCUCAAAAAAAAAAAACUCGAAAAUUCAAAAAAUUUUUAAUAAAUUGCGAAUUUGCAAUUUAUAGCAAACAUUGACCUAAAAAUCAAAACAAAUUGUUUGAGUUAAUUCACAGUUAAAAAAAAAAAACGCGCUGAGACUUUUAUAUAUACGUCCGAAGUGGUAAAAAAGGUUGCUAGAACAAAUUUCGCUCAUAAGGUCUUCCCGCCCCCAACCCCGCUCCCAAAAAAAAAAAAAUAAAUAAAAAUAAAACGAACCUUUUUCUAGGAAAAAGAAAGUAUUAA